rnacentral:tRNA from 1 species
GGGGUUGUGGCUCAGUGGUACAGCACUUUUCUCGCAUGCAUGAAGCAAUGGGUUUGAUCCCCAGAACCACA